rnacentral:lncRNA from 1 species
GUCCCUCACCUGUCCAAUCUCUCCUAUCUCUCACCUGUCUCACCUGUGUGACGUCACCUGUCCCACCUGUGCAGGUGAAGGUUCUGGGCCGCCGCCCCCUCCCCGCCACCGUCACCUUUUUGGGUCCCGUCUCACCUGGGCCAGGAGCAGCUCUGGGAGCGCCUGGAGGUCACACCUGAGCAGGAGGAGCCGCGGUGCUGGGAGGGCCCCGAGGAGCGCGGGGAGGGCCCCGAGCGCCCCCUGCUGAUGCCCUGGCCCAAGGUUCACCUGCUGAGCUCGGCCCGCGUGACCUUUGACCAGAGAAUCUUCCAGAACACCUGGGGCGGCACCGAGCUGCAGGUGCAGACGGAGCUGGAGCGCGUGGAGCCCCCCAAUCCCCUCCCCCUCAUUUUGGGGGCGUCCUUGGGGGGGCUCCUCCUGCUGGCCCUGGUGGCGCUCGGCCUCUACAAGGUCGGGUUCUUCAAGCGCCGCUACAAAGAAAUGCUGGAGGGCAACGAGAGCCCCGGGGACCCCCAGGCCGCCAAUUAACUGCGAAUUAAUGAACAUUUUAAUUAAAAUAGUCAUUACAAAUUCAGAUUAAAUAGGCAUUUUAAAAAAUCCGAUAAAAAUUCGUUCAAAAUUCAUUUAAAAAUUCAUAAAAAUCCAUUAAAAAAUCAAAAUUUUGUUUAAAAAUCCCA